AAAACUCUGUUUUCAAAGAUUGUUUUUAAUGUUUGUGAUUAAGGAAGUGUGGUUGAAAGUGUCUGAUCUAGCUAACCAGCAGGGGAAGUUACAUUGUUUCUUUUAAGCAUGAAGUAAACACCCAGUGUUGUUUUCAUAGAGUUGCUCUUUGCUAUUGAUGACUUUUCCUGUUUUCUUUUGGGGGAGCCAGCAGAGGGAGAACACGGACUGAGUGGU